AUUUGUCUUGAAAGAAAACAAACAACAUCUAUUAAGUUAAAAAAUCAAUUAUGUCAAUAUCUUCCGAAACAAAAACUUCUCUAUGGAUACAAAAAUGAAGGGUGCUAAUACAAGAAAGGAAAAAAAGGCUAGAGUGAUUUGACCAGAAAGAUGUAGCUUUUACAUGUGCCUUUUACAUUGCUACUGCUGCUUAUGAUCAGAAUCUGAAUGGUUCUAAGGAUCAAUGAAAGGCAAUACAGUUUUUCUUUUUUAGCUAUACAGAAUGAUAGACCAACUGUUUGCAUCAAACGGGCAUUUCACUUCAGCAAUUUGGCUUUUGUUUUUUUGUCUGUAUAUGUACCAUAUAUAUAGUAUUAUUUUGGUAAUACAUUUCAGCUGACAUCUUACUGUGCAUGCGAACCAAAGAAUGCAUCACUAAUUUUUGGGCAAAGCCUUAUUGACACCAAGGGUCCUUCAUUUUCUAGUGAAGUAUGGUGAGCACUGCAGUCUCCUAUCAGUACUUUUGUUCCCAAAACAGGAAUACAGACUUUUUAAAAUAGUGGAGAGAAAUUGAGUAAAUCAAAUUCUGCUCAGUCAUGCAAAAUUUUGGGCAUUAACCUUGAUCCAAAGACUUCCUAUUCAUCUGGUUAUAUUCAGAAGAUGAUUAACAAGUGAGAAAAUAUUACAGAAGCUUCUCAUGUAGUCUUGGAGUAGACGCUUUUGCAAGACCCAGCAUAUACUGGUCCUCACUGGUCCAUGUCACCAGUCAGCGAAGUGUUUUCAUAACUCAAAAGUAACCAGUUGGAUUUUCAUACACUGUUUUCAAUUUCUACCUAUUUCCAGGUGGUAACUGUCCAUGUGACAACAAGAACUGAUUCAGUUGAAUUGAGCAGAAGCCACACUCUCUUGGGAUGAGGGGCCUGUUAAAAUGUGCUCCCCCAGGAAGGCUGAAACCCAUUGUGAGUGAGGAGCUGCAAAGCUGGCCAUAUUCUAGGUUAGAGGACGUCAGGUUCAACACCUUUAAUCUGGCACCACUCAUUAGUGGCAAACACAUUUUAAAACAUAAAGGUUAUUUUUGUAGGAGUACUCAGAGGAAACUGGGAGCUGUUUUGAAAGAAUCAGUUCUAGUGUCUGCAGACAGCACUACAUACGAGUUUUACAUUUGCUUCUGUAGAAAAUGUCCAAUGUCAGUGCACGGAGAUAUGUUAAUUGUUUAUUUUUAGAAGCCUCUCUAGAAAGUUUUGCAUAUUCUGUAAUAUCACAAAGGACUUCUUCUGUUUACAGUUGCUUAGAACUAAGAAGAUAGAUAUUUACCCAAGUUUUCUUGGCUUCCUCUUGCUCCCUUGAUAUUCUAGAGUUCCCUGUGGAGAGGGCCAAGAACACACAGUCAAAGCAAAGCAGCAAGUCGUUAAUUUUUAAUUCAAAGUGAUUUUGUGUUGAAUGCAAGCAGAUGCUGAUAAUAUCAGAAGUCACAGCAUAAUUUUUUUGAUCAAAGGGCUCAAGUGAGCCUGAUGAAGCAUGCAUCUUGCUCGUCUUUGAUAAACCACAUCAAUUAUUCACCGUGAAGGCAGACAUCCUGACAUGAAAGCAACAGAUAAAGAGCAUAAGCACAUGUUCGAGACGAGAGCAGAAGAACGUGGGGGUGGGGCUGGAGGGGCUGAAACAGGUAUUAAUAACAGAAUUAUUAACUGGAAACAAAGCCAGUAAAACAGCUUUAUUGCCACUUUGAACUCACAUUUAACUGGUUAUAGUACAUGUUGUCCUCAGGGCUAUUCAGCAUUUUGGGCUGCUGACAUCGUCGACGAGGUGUUCUCAGCUUCUGUUCAAGACAGUUUUCUGAACCUACAGUAAGAUAAUACAAUUUAGUUUUAAGCUGUGCCAGGUGCUGUGAACGUCUUAGGGUCUUUUUAGGUAUUUUAGUCAGCAAACAGUCUUUUCUUCUGUCCCCUUUGGUCCUGGAUCUAUUAGUAAGUCUAUCCUAUUCAAAGUAAGCACAAGAAACAUGGGAAAUCUUUGUUUUCUGUUUUGAAACUUAGUUCAAACACAAGUUUUUAAGCAUAGCUUCACUUUUACUUUUAAAACCUUUUUUUUUUUUUUAUGCUUCCCUUUGUAUAAAUCACACAGCUUCGUACUCCUUUCACUCUUUAUCUGAGUAUCUUCUGCUAUCUAAGCAGGAAAUGAGGAUACCGUGACCAGCCAGGAUACAUCGUUCAGCAGCAGCAAAGACGUUUUUCUACAGUAGGAGGACGACAGACAAUAUGGUGCACUGUACUAUAUUUCACCAGGAGUUUCUGUGGCACAUCCUCCAGAUUACCAGAACAAGUGCUUUCAGGACGAAACAGAAGCACUAUUUACUGAAAGACAGAGUGGUGGGUAAAGAAAGGUCGUUCAUUUUCCACAUAGUUCUCUCAAUAUCUUUGACUUUUCUGACAUCUCCCUGCUAAAAAUUAUUUUAAUGACAGUGUGAACAGAGAGUUUUUGGUGGCACAUUUGCACUCCAUACUGCAUGGGAAAUGUGCUCUGACACAAAGGAGCAGCACAAAGAUCAAGCAGUGCAGGAGCUUCUUUAGACGUUUCAAACCUGAAUUCAGCCUGCCUUGUGCAGAUGUAGGGCUCUCAUCUCACAAAUCCAUGUUUAAGAUCUGGUGUUAACAAGCAGGUAAACAAAGAAGGCCCAUCAUAUACUCAGGCUCACAGUCUGCAAAUAAUGCAUUUUUCUGCAGUUUCUGAGGGAGGUACAGGAGGUGGUCGAACCUUGGCCCUUGUAGCCAAAGGACGGACUGUAUUUUCUUUCACCAUCUUUUUUCCUUCUCCACAGUAAAAUCUCUAAGAUAUAGCUUCCUCUCAGUAUGGAACUGUGGUGCUUGUGUGGGAGAAGAUCGCUUGUUCUGAGCCCACCAUCAUCUUCCCUCACAAUGCCUGGGACUGGUGAGAUAAAAAGCACUGGGGAUCUGACUGCAGAGCUGGGUCUCAAAUUAAAAAUGAUUUUAUAGAGAAGGGUUACCCUUCUUCAGUAAUACAGAAUAAAUUUUAACUAAUAUGUUUGUACCGCUUGCUAAUUAUGAUGCCCAAACCUUCAUUGAUUUGUACUUUUCGAGUUCAGUAAACUUUCAUAUUCUGUCUCAAGAGAUUGUGACAGCUGACCCUGCUACUUCUGUUGUAUAAAACCAGACAAGGCAGAAGCUGCUCCAGAAAAUGCUGCUUGAAGAGUUGAGGAACUUGGGUUCCCAAGUGCUAUUCAUGUCUUUGGAAAGUUUUUUUUUCUGUUACAUUUAGAUAGCAGAUAAUGGUAAUUUUGUUCUCUCUGAAAUCUCCAACAGUUUUGCCAAAGGCUUGCUGCAGCCAUGUUCUAUUCUCUGUUUGCUGUGAAAGUUAUUCAAAUUGACCUUAGAGCCUUCUGCCACAUCAGGUCAGUAGGGGCUACAAUCUUUUUGAGCAAUGUGUUCAAUUGCAAGGCCAUACAAAUUCCUUUUUUUCAGCAAUGUAGUUCUUGAAUAACUCUCCAAAAAUUACUUUUUUUAGUCUAUCAAGAGGCCAGUAUGAAAAAAUCCCCAGGCCUCACAGUUCUUCAUACUUUCACACAUCUCUCUGCAGCUUGCCAAAAGUAAGCAUACGCCACAUAAAUAUUUGUAAGUUUUCAAACAGUACUGCAACAUGAUGGGGGGGUGCUUUUGUUCUUUCCCCCAAGAUGCUGUUGUGGCCUUCAUGUUAUUUUUCAAAACAUCUGUAUGGUCUUCAUUUUUAAAAUGUCUUUUAUUCAUUAGGAUUCUGAAACACUAAUAUUUUGUUCUAGCUUUUUAUAUUGAUGCUUAAUUAUUUCUGUGUAUUCCAUGGGUGGUCUGCAGCUUGUGUCCUCCAAAGGAAAUACCCUUUCAGUGGGCCCAUUUGUCUUAGUGUUUAGCAGCAUACUACACGAACAGUAAAAAAUCUGGUAACAUUUAUCAUAAACUACCAUAUCUGGAGAAAACUGUAUUAACAUGUGCUCAACACUCAGCAGUUGAAUAGGCAGUUUAAAUGGUGUUCUAUAACGUUUUGCUUUGAUGGCAAACUUAAAGCGUCCAAUAGGAAAAGCUAAGAGUAGCAGCACCAACAUCAUUAACAGGGCACUGUUUGUGUUGCACCCCAAUUGCGCCAAGAGCCCAGCAUGCCCAGACUCCCAAGUUUCCUACAGAUUCAGAGACUGGAUAAGAGAUUGCACACAUGCACUUCCUUCAGGCUGUCCUUUAGCACCAGUCUGAAGUAAGGUAACUGCCUCCCUUUUGUCCAGAAGAAAACUUUUCUUCCAAUGAGCAGAAAAUCCUCAUGUUGCAAUUUCCCAGUUUCAAUUAGUAAAUCCUUCAUGACAGUGCAUAAAUAACAGAGUGGGUAAACCUCCUCUUGACAAGUGUGCUAUGUCAGCUGAUCCAGACAGCAUAGGGCAGAGUGAGAUUCUGAGUGUCCUCCUUUCCUUGCUUGAACCUACAGAGGCAGACACACGUGGGUGAACAUCCCUAAAUCAUAGAAUCAUAGAAUGGCUUGGGUUGGAAGGGACCUCAAAGAUCAUGUAGUUUGAACUCCCCUGCCAUGGGCAGGGCUGCCAACCACUAGAUCAGGCUGCCCAGGAACCCAUCAAGCCUGGCCUCGAACACCUCCAGGGAUGGGACACUCACAGCUUCUCUGGGCAGCCUGUACCAGUGCCUCACCACCCACUAAGUGAAGAAUUUCUUCCUAAAUCUAACUUAAAGUUGCUCACAGUGAUGGGAAUUAGAAACUGGCAAAUGGGUAAAUUUGACUACAGAGUACUUACUUAAAACUAAACAAUCCAAUGGGGUUUCUAUUUAAUCCUCUAUUAUUACUACUGGUUAUCCUUUUUAUUCAUCAGAUAUGGCAGAGACCCGGGGCUUGCACUGCUCAGACAGAUUACAAAGAUGUAUGUUUUCAACAAAAUGCAAAGUCAGACGUUUAAGUUACAUUUUUCAGAACUGGGAAUUGCAGACUUGGAAAACAGUGCCUCCAGGAGAGAGUUGGGAAUCAUAUGGAUAUUCUGCUGAGUAUGAAGUAGACCAGGAGCAAAGCGGAGGGCUACUCCAUGGAAACAAGGAAAUGGUUCUAUCAAUGAGUGCAGAAUUGUUUUAGAGAGAGCAGAAGCCCCUGAAUAGAAAGAUUAUUGGUGGCGGAGGGCUUUUCACUUUAGCAAACACAGGUCUGAAAUGUCUGAAGGCCAUGAGAGGAAGAAAAAUCCAGACUUUAAAUCAGCACAGAGUGAAAGCAAUCAGUCAGGAGAAAAAAAAUAUUUAGCAGUAUGAUGGAAAUUCAAGAUGAGAUUGGAAGGUUUUAGAAAAGCUGUAUUUUGACUAAAGCUGAAGUUAAAAACUAUUCAAGAUACCAGAUAGGUCCCUUCUGACCUAAUGUGAAUUCAUUUCUUUGUGAGUCAAUCUGCAGAAGAUUUUUUGUAGACUUUUUGAUUUCUGGUAUCUACUUUCACCUUUGAAUUCCCAUGUAUUUCUUCUUGGCUUUUGUAUGGCUGAAAUGGAAAUAUUUUUCUUCAGUUAGCCAUCACAUCCAUCACAUCGACACUUUUCAUGAGAUCUCUUGGCUUGGAGAUGAUUAGUAAGUUUCAUAUGCCAUACCUUACCUAGAUGACUUUUCUGUUUAGAAAUCCAUUCUUUCAAUAAACUGCAAAGGACUUCUUUGAAGCUGUACAAGCUGACGAAGAGUCAGAUUUAUGGAAAGACUUUGAAAUGCUUCUUAGCUACGAGACAAGGACUUCUGCAUCAAGGACUUGGGUCCUGACUGAUGCUUACAGAACAGCAACUGAAAAAAUAUGUUUUUCCAAUGACUUCCUGUGAGGUGUAUGACUUCACUAUGAUGCUCAGAGAAAAUCUCACAUUAGAUGUCCUGUUUGCCCUGCUUGUCUCAAUACUGAAAACCUGUAGACAGGCACUGGGCAUACUCUUAAGAGGAAUUGCAAAUAAUCGCAUUCUGUUCCUGAAAUGAAGCUGGGAUCUUCAACUGUUCAUGAUUAAGUCCUUGCUUCAAAAACCUCUUGAUGUCAGUGAUCUUGCCAAACAUUGCUAAUUCUUCCUAUAUGGCAAAUUCUGCUGAGAAAACGGUGACCUGCAUUGGAAGUUGUAAAAUCCAUAGAUGUGAGUCAGGUUGUUUUAAGACUGGUGCAGCACAGAGAGGGCACUAAACUCAGGAUGACAUCUUACUUUUAGCAAGGAAUGCACUGAAGGGAUCUCUGCCAAUGCGUCAGUGCUACAAAGCAGGCUGCGUUGAUGACUCCCUUGCUGAAGGGACUUCAUCCACUCCAACACAUACUGAGGAGUGGAGUUGAGCUUCAGUUUAUUUCUGAAGCCAUUUACCCAAAACAAGUUUGGAAGGCAUUGGUCUUGUAUUUUGCUGUUACAGGUGAACACAAACUUGACAACACAGGAAGAGUAGUCUUUCUCUAAUUACUCAAACACAGGGAGAUUUAUCAUAUGAGGAGAAAGGGCAGCAUGGUACAGAAAAAGGGGCCAUAUUUAUUAUUAACAGAGUAAGCAAAUAAAGUAGAUAAAUCAGUAUGACCAAGAAAAAUAGUAAGCAUGUGUCUGAUUUCCAAUCUAUAAUAUCAGAUGAAACAUGAAAGUGCAACCCUUAAUUAUAAGCAAAUAUUAGCACAGACUCAUGGGAUCUCAUCAUAACAUCUCAAGGUCUACAUUCAUGAAAAUUUAAGCAAUGUUUAAAAUCAUGUUAAUUUGUUCUUUGUUUGUUUCUUUUCCUGCCAGUCUAAUUUAUUCCAAAAGACUUUGGUUCUCAAAUCUGGAUAUAUUGAUCAUGCCUAUGUAAAGCAUUGUUAUAGCCUGGGGAGAAGACUUUUGAGGAGAAAAAAUUGUCUUUGUUCUCGCUUGAUAAUUUAUAUGUAUUUUGAUGUUUGCAAGCAUUUCCAAUUCAGAAUCACUUUUCAAGCAGCAAGUUAACUUCACUUUUUCUCUUGAAGUCCUGGGCAAAUACAGAAAUGACCUCACACACAAUGACAAUAUACAUUCUCCUCCUGGACUGGCUGCUAAGUGGGUAAUUAUGUGCAGCAUGCUGAUUUCAAGGAAUAGUUACAUUUUCUUCUGUGCCAUACAAGCCUCUUCAAGAAAAGGACCCAAGGGGCUAGUGAUUCUGGUCCCACUCAUAUCAGUACUAAAUGAGAGUGACUGAGCAUCGCUUAUGCAGUAAAAAUGCUGUAACUGAAAUAGGCUUUGUGAUUUUAAUAAUUUCAGCUUUAUUUUUAAAGCAGAGAAAUUCACAAAGAGCACGUACUGCUGUCAGGCUACAAGUGUUCACACAAACACAUUUUUUGCUUCCUCAUUCUGAUGGUUCUCCACCAUUUGGACAAAUUUACAUCACACCUCAACUGCAAAAGGGGAGGAAAAUGAAAAACUUGCUGGAGAUGCAGAGUGAAUAAUCAGGUAGUCAUACUAAGCUAUACUCAGUCAGGAGCUCCAAUGAGCUCCUCUUGUGCCUGCCUGACUGCUGUACUUAAGCCACCCCUCACAGCACUAUCUUGCACACCCCUGUAUGAAACUACAUUGUGACUGUAGUAUGAGCAUGCAAAGGGAGACACCAGACCCUCAGCACAAGGUAUCUGCACACUGCCUGUAAAGUGCUACCUACUUUGAGUAUGUUAGAAACAAGGGCAGCAUAAUGGCUGUAAUAGCCUUCACAGAUCAAGUGCUGUAGAGUAAUCCAAUAGCUUCACAUGGGAAUAAUGAAGCUACGAGGUCUAUGCUGUACAUUAUAAAUAGUAAAUGUAUUAUAGUAGUUAAAAAAAAAACCAACAACAACAAAACAA